rnacentral:lncRNA from 1 species
GAUAGUCCAUGGUGUCCUAGCCUUAUUGGAUCCUACAAAACAACCAUAUAAGUAUUAAAAAGAAAUCAUUCUAAGACUUAGAAAAAGAAAAUCAAGAAAAAGUCUUUCUUCACUCCCCUUUCUUAGCCUUAGCUUUAGUUAGUACUCCUUUGAAUGGAAUGCCUUAAAUGGGUUUCCAUCAUACCCUCCCUCUUGAAAAACGAUUUGUCCUCAAAUCGGGAAGAUAUAAAGAAGCACAACUUUGGUUUGUCACUUUCCUCCUGGAUCAAAAACAUAUCUACAAUAAGCAUCAAACAUAUCUCCAAUUAGUAUCAAUCCAAGAAAGAAUUUUUUUGUGGAAGUAACUUUAGAAUAAGGACUUUGUUUUAUAGUUUUAAGGAAUUUUGAAAGUCCUAAUUCCCAAGUCACUUUUCUUUUAUCUUGAGUUUCUUGUAUCCCUAAGGGUAACAAUAACUCAAGAUUUAAAUUGCCAUAUUUUGAAGAAGUUUGCAUUGAAUAUGGAAUGACAAUUGCUUUUAAAAAAAUUAAGAUUUGAAGACUCAACAAUAAUUGGAAAAGAAAUAAAGAAUUGGAAACCUUCCCUUUUAGGUUCCAUGGUUUUUGAAAGGAUGGAAGAUUUCUCCUUUUCUUUCUUCUCUCUUUCUUGCCUUUCUCUAUUCUUUUCUUCUUCUCUUCUCUCUUUCUCUUCUCUCUUCUUCUUUUCUUUGCUCUUCUCUCCUCUCUUCUUCUCUUCUUCUCUCUUCUUCUCUUCUCUCUAUCUCUCUUUCUCUUUUCUUUUCCUUGAUCUCUUUAAGUUUGGCUCCAAAUUCUAGUUCUCUCCUAAGAAACCCAUGAUCAUUUAAACUCUCAAGAAAUAUUUUUCCAUCUUCAAUGUAAUCUCUAAUUAAUUCUAGGUUUCUUUUAAUUCUUGAAGGCACAAACUUUCUCCUCAUGCAAGCUUUUAAAUCAUACCAAUCAUGAAUGGGAGACUUUCUACCUUUCCUAACAUAAUAUUGUCUUUCAUCCCACCACUCACUUGCAUGUUNUUCUAACUUAGAGAGAUAAAUGCUAAGCACAUAAGACUCACUCUCUCUAUGAAACCAAGNAUUUAUUUUAUCUAUCUCUUGUUCCCAAGCUAGGUAUGUUAAUGCACCUAUGUCUUUGCCAA